CUAAGAAUAUUGGGCAAUGGAGGAAACUCUGACCCAGCCAUGCCGCGUGAAUGAAGAAGGCCUUCGGGUUGUAAAGUUCUUUUAGUCGUGAAGAUGAUGACAGUAGCGACAGAAAAAGCACCGGCUAACUUCGUGCCAGCAGCCGCGGUAAUACGAAGGGUGCAAGCGUUGUUCGGAUUUACUGGGCGUAAAGCGUCCGUAGGUGGUUUGUUAAGUCAGGGGUGAAAUCCCGGGGCCCAACCCCGGAACUGCCUUUGAUACUGGCAAGCUGGAGCGUGAUAGAGGAAGAUGGAAUAUCUGGUG
rnacentral:rRNA from 1 species